rfam:Burkholderia peredens type strain LMG 29314 genome assembly, contig: contig000044
GUCGGCAUCGUCACCGUGCAGCCGACGAGCGUGCCGGUCACCGUCGAUCUGCCGGGCCGCACCAAUGCGUAUCUCGUGGCGCAAGUGCGCGCACGGGUCGACGGCAUCGUGCUGCGCCGCGAGUUCACCGAAGGCGCCGAAGUCAAGGCCGGUCAGCGUCUCUACAAGAUCGA